UUAUGUGUAAUCUUUUAUAUUAGAACUGUUUGAAACAUGAUCAUAAUUUUACAAGGUUUAUAUGCUAUAGUUCCUAGACUCUAGUUUACAGAGAAAUAGAUAGAGAAAAUGUGACCAUUAUUUUUCCUUUUAGAGAGAAUUUUUUCUAAGCAUUAUGACAAAUGGGGCUUGGAGGUUUGGAGAAAUUUAUUAAGAGAUUUUGCAUGUAUGAUGGAGAUGCCAUCAGAUUCUUCAGUGUUUAUUAUCAGAUAGAUACUGAGAAAUUAUACUAAAGAAUAUAGCAAUAACAAAAAUAGUUAAGCCACAGAAAUCAAGGGUCUGACAGACGGUUGGGAAAGCAGAAAAAAACCCAAGAGACUAAGUUAGGAAAUAAGCAUAUGAAACACUUUUCUGUUGACAAGAUCUCGGCUGGUGUCACCAUAACACUUGGAAAAUAUCCUCAGGAUGCUGGGAACCAUUAAAGCCGUACAGAUUAUCAGAGGAUAAACUUCCACUUCAGCUGCCACUGGUACCAGAAGUGACCAAUAAGAAACACUUGGGAAAUGCAAGAUGAAGAAUUGAAGCAUUGACAUUCUAGGGAUAUCACAGAGCAAGUGCAAGGGUAUCUAGAGGUCAAUCAGACAGUACCUAUCUGAAACAAGGCAGGCUGAUAAAUAAAAAGAAUAAAUCAUAUUCCAAAAAAUACCAUCAGCUUUGAAAAGCUAAUUAAAGGAAAAGUUAUCUAGUGUUCCUCCUGAGCCUGGUUUUAUUUUGUAAGUAGUAUGAUAGGGAAGGCUACAGCACAGUGAUCUAUCUGUGCUUUGAGUGCCAAAAUAUGUAAAAGAUUAAUAUGAUGAUUGUUUGUUUAUACAUUGUUUAGAACACAACUUCCUUGAAGUAGGUACAUGAGAGAAGUGAAAGAUAACACACAGAAAGUAUGUCACAAUUUUCCAUGAGGUUGGCAACACCCAACUGACAGAGGAGAGACUCAAUGAAUAUCAGAAUCCCUCUGAUCUUGAAGGCAACAAGUUCCAGUCUCCAAUUUUUCUUCCUUUUAUUCCAUUUCCAGUGCUCUGUAUUUUCUAGCAUACCUGCAAAUCCCUUAUUUCAGAAGAAAAUAGAAAUUAAAUAUGGUAUUGAACAAAAACCUCAGAGAGGAACAUACCUGCAGUUGAAGGAAAUCCUUACUUGUGUACCAACUCUUCUUUAAAGCGGUCUCUGGUAGAAAUGAUUAGUUCUUCAUCUAAAAUGUGAAGCUCUAAGGCAAUAAACAUUCUCUUAUAGCUGAUACCUAUUUUCAGUGAAAUUAGCAUGAUUGCCUGUUGGUGUUUGCCGAAGUGUUUUCUCACGGGUCAUAUUUCUACAGAUAUAAUGAAAGGGAUUUAUGUAGCGGGGAGCCACAGAGGUCAGCAGCUGGGGCUGAGAAAUGGGAGUUACUGUUUGUUGAAGUCCAGGCUUUGCCUUGCCUCUGUGUGACUUUGUGAUAUCUUGGGCUUUUUUAUGGUCAGCUUAUGAAGUGGCCAGCCUGGCAUCUUGCCCACGCUAAGGGCUAGGCUUUGAAUAGCAGGCUGCAGAUGUACAUGGAGGCCCCCCUUACAUAGAAGUUAUGGGAAAGGCCACUGUCUGGUUGCAGUGUCCCCCCGUACACAGACAUAUAUACUCCUAUGCCAGUUCUGGAUAUGAGUCCUUGUCACCUUGAGUCCUAAGAAACUAUUCCUUCAUUUUACCUCACAAAACGGUUGGCUAAAAAUGUUGAAAUCUCAAGUUGAAGUUCCACCUGUGCAAGACACUGCUAGUUAAUGUGCUAAUUGUCAUGUAAACUUCUUUGCUUAAUGAGAUGUGAAAUAGCCACUACUGUUAGGAAUAUCAUUGUGCAAAGAGUUUGUCCCAAGUACUCAGGGUCGUUUAUUACUGUGCUGCAGCACAACCCAGGGCUGCUAUUUGAGCCUCUUGCCAAAAUAGGAACAUUUUAUUUUCUGAUGAGUCAUCUGGGUUUCACUCCUAUCUCUCAAGUUUCCCCCACCCUGUUCUUCUUUGCUGUAAAGUCCAGCCCCCGCCCUAGAGACCUUGCUUUCCCAGCCCAAAGAUGGGGUGGAACCCUCUUCAGCAGCCUUAGGCUCUGUUCCUUAAUUAACUCGGAGGGGACUGCUAAUGAAUAAUAUGGAGCAUUUUCUCUGUCACUGGAGCUGAACGUGCAGCAUUCCUAGCCUUUUCCCACCUGGAGUGUGGCAGAGCAGUGCUGGCGGCUGAGUUGGAGUUUGCCACAUGCUGUGCUAAACUUUACCUGCAUCAAGACAGAAACGGAACUAGGUCAACCAAAGGAGGCAGAUGUAAUAAUCUGUUGCCAGAAUACAUGAAUCUUAGAAAAUGCCAAGAAUGCUCAGCCAUUUCCUGUGAUAUCACUGCCACAAAAGGAAUCUGUAUCAUCAUCUUUCUUCAAGUAUCUUCUCUCCUGUGUGGCCUUUUCAAAUCACUCAGGCUGGUGAACCUAAGCCAGGUUAAUCAAGAAUUCCCAGAUGAGGAAAAUUGCGACCAUAAGACAUAUAACAACAAGGAUCAACAUUUUCUUAAUAAAGGGUUCAUUGUUUUGCAGAGGAUGGGUCUCUCUGCCCUGCGGGGAUCUGUCUGCCACUGCUGACUCUCUGCGUCUUCUCCACAUACAAGAAGUAAUUGGAUUUUACUUUCUGCACAUGACCAAGACAGCAGGGAAACCAAGAGCUGAAGGCCAGAGAACUGAGCUGUCUAGAGGGUAGGGAAGCAUCUGAUACCUAAGAAAACUAAAUUUUUGAGUCUAACCACAAGAUCUUUCCUUGCUUUCCAUGGGGGAUCUGGGACAUGCUGAACUGCACCCAGCAGACUGCACUGGAACUUGGGAAGGUCUUGUGAAGCCUUCAGGGAGCAGUGAAAACCAUAACCACACAAAUAAUCCCUGCCAAAAACCAGCACAGGAGCAUUAAAUGUCUGUGGAUGUACAAAACAAUAAUCUAUGCUAUGCAACACUAAUAGUUAGGGUCAUUUCUUAGAAUUGCAAUACAGAGACAUUACUGCAAUAUAUAGUGGUGUUUUCACAAUGUUAGGGCUUCCAUGUGCUACCACAUAGCUGGGGUAUACGACUAAGCAGGAACAACUGCAACCCUUCAGCCCAGAAUUAAAAAAAAAUAUAAAAAAAUAGCAGUUACUUCAUACAUAUCCAGGUAGGGUAGUAUUUAUUAUUAUGUGAUUACAAAAUGCCAUGUUGUAACCUGAAAUGUUGUGCUGUUUAUUUAUUCCUAAAGACCAGAACCCUGACAUUAUCAUGUUCCUUGGAGUGAUUGGGGGAAAGUGAUGAGAUUGCCAAGACUUUAUGCUGUAAGUCUUUAAGAGUUUAGUAGAUUUAUUCUUUUCCUUCAAAUGAAUUCCUGCUUGUCAUUGUCAGCUCUCCAUUGCAUGUCCUGCCCCCCUUCUACCCCCUUAGAUCCAAGCUUAAAAAAAGAAGCCGUUUGGAACUUGGUGUGUUGCUUGUAGCUAUGUUAGGGAAAGGGUACUAUUCUGGGAGCACUCAGGCUUCUCCAAACGGCUCUUCCAGCUGCAGCAUGCAUGGUUUUAAUCUCAGUCAUAAGGACUUGAAUUGGUCUCCUACCAAGCCCCACCAGCCAUAACCCAAAUGCCGGCUGAUCUUCUGUAAGGCCUAAGGAAUAUAUGCCUGUGUGUGUGCGUGUGUGUUUGUGUGAACAUGGGUGUAUGCACACACACUCAUUUAUUUGCAUGGAGAGCUUUAAUGGUCAGCUUUGAACCCUCUCCAGCCCCGUUACAACAGAUUCUUCCAUCUGGCCUGAUUUAGACCUGUGGACUCCUUGAUCCAACACACAGCACUGAAAUGGAUUUGCAGACCUGAACCAACCCCCACCAAAAGGUGUACUAAUGGGAUGUGUUGCUUUCCUCUGGACAAGCCAUCAUCUUCCUCCCUCCGUCCCUGCAGUGGAGGCAGAAGAGGGUGGUACGUGCCCAAAUUAAGGUCUAUGCCUAGGGAGAGCCCCCACCUAGGCCAUGCCAUGGUAGACUUGCACGAGGGAUGCUUUGCACAGGGGAGGGACUGUGCUACACCAGAAAGGCAUCCAAAAUCUUGGGCUCAUCGACAGAGGCAGGGUUUCUUGUGCAGGACGAUUUGUGCGUUUCUCCUCAAUAAAUAUUUGUAUCAAUCCUGACAGGAAUAAAAGCACUGACACACAGGCAAAA